rnacentral:rRNA from 1 species
CCCGCACAAGCGGUGGAGCAUGUGUUUAAUCGGACUCAACGCCGGGAAACUCACCAGAUAAGACAGCUGAAUGAUAGUCGGGCUGAAGACUCUACUUGACUAGCUGAGAGGAGGUGCAUGGCCGUCGUCAGUUCGUACUGUGAAGCAUCCUGUUAAGUCAGGCAACGAGCGAGACCCACGCCAACAGUUGCCAGCUCGUCCUCCGGGAUGGUGGGGACACUGUUGGGACCGCCUCUGCUAAAGAGGAGGAAGGAAUGGGCAACGGUAGGUCAGCAUGCCCCGAAUUAUCUGGGCUACACGCGGGCUACAAUGGGUGGGACAAUGGGUAUCGACACCGAAAGGUGAAGGCAAUCUCCUAAACCCAUCCGUAGUUCGGAUUGUGGGCUGCAACUCGCCCACAUGAAGCUGGAAUCUGUAGUAAUCGUGUCUCAAAAUGGCACGGUGAAUAUGUCCCUGCUCCUU